rnacentral:lncRNA from 1 species
NNNNNNNNNNNNNNNNNNAGAGCUCCUGCGGCCUCCAGCAAAGCUGUGCCGUGGAGCCGGUCGCAGGGCAGCCGCCCCGCCCGUCCAGGCCCCCGCCAGACCUGGUGGUAAGCGAAGGUGCAAGAGGCCCUGAGACGGGCGACCCAGAGAUGGAGGGAGUUGCUCUUUGGGAGAUGGUGAACGCGCCACUCCCUCCCCCGGAGGAGGGCCGGGUGGAGAAUCUUUUGUUUCCUUUUUUUCUGCCACUGGCCUCGCGGUCAGUGGUACCCAAAUUCUCGACGAAAGAGCAAUUUCUCCCUUCUCUGGGUCCCCUGAGGGGAUGGGGGGCUGUGGACGGUCCAGAGCCGUAUCACACUCACCCUCCUCUCUCGCCAGCGAGCAGCAGUGGGCGGAUCGGGAGGACGAACCAACGGACUACCCACGCACCCUCUGCUCAAACGCAGGUCAGUGUUGCACACACCCAGACCCCGCCUCGGACCGGCAAAGAGACGCCCGGGCCGGGUCCCUGCGUUCUUUCACGCUGCCCCGCUGCGGGUACGCCUGUAGUUCCGUUGAUGCCACUUGCGCGGCGUCUGGGAGCCUGGCUAGAGCUACCCAGCAUGUCUCCAUGGCUCCGUCGAACCGUCAGGCUCGGCUAUACGAUUCAGUUCGCCCGGCGCCCUCCCAAGUUCAGGGGCGUCCACUUUACGUCAGUGAAAGCAGCAGAUGCCCCUGUCUUGCGUGCAGAGAUCGCAGUCCUACUGGCGAAGGACGCGAUAGAGCCGGUCCCUCCAGCCGAUAUGAGGUCGGGGUUUUACAGCCCUUACUUUAUUGUACCCAAGAAAGGCGGUGGGUUGAGACCUAUCUUGGACCUGCGCGUCGUGAACCGGGCCCUUCACCGGCUCCCGUUCAAGAUGCUCACGCAGAAAUGCAUCUUCAGGUGUAUCCGUCCCCAAGACUGGUUCGCAGCGAUCGACCUGAAGGACGCGUACUUUCAUGUCUCGAUCCUUCCGCGCCACAGGCCAUUCCUGCGGUUUGCGUUCGAGGGGCGGGCAUACCAGUACAAGGUCCUGCCCUUCGGGCUGUCCCUGUCGCCCCGUGUCUUCACGAAAGUUACGGAGGCAGCCCUUGUUCCCAUGAGAGAGCAGGGCAUUCGAAUCCUCAACUACCUCGACGAUUGGCUCAUACUUGCCCAGUCUCAGGGGCAGUUGUGCGAGCACAGGGACUUGGUGCUUUCACACCUCAGCCUGUUGGGCUUUCAGGUCAACU